AGCGGCUGCGCCGCCGCGCUGCGGUCUGUGCCGGGCGGGGCCCGCGCCCGGGGAGCGGCUGCUGCGGCGGGGCUGGGGCGGGCAGCGCGGCGGGGAGGGGCGGCACGGGGCCGAGCGCAGGACGGGGCCGUUCCCGGGGCCGGGGGUGUCUGCCCCCCGCCCCGGGGGCUGCCCCAGGGACCCCCGCUCAGCCCCGCUGGGAAGGUGUCGGCUGGAGUGUCCCCGCUUGGUGUCCCUGCAGGGCCCAGCGCUGAAAGCGACUCCCGAGGAUCCCUGUGCCUGCCCUGCUCAGGUGGAGGGGAUGUGACCCGGAGGGAUGCCCAGAGGAGUCUGUGACCUGUCGGGCGGCUCCUCUUCAAAACCCACUGGGCUCAGUGUGCGCUGCCGACAGAGGUGCCCUGGGCAGGACGUAGGUCACCUCCCGGGCAGCCUUGUAGUGAUUCCAGUGUGCAGCAGCCACUGGUGGCUGAGGAACAAAGGGAUGAAACCCACUUCCCAGAGAGCUAUCGCUGAGCAGGUCCUGGGAUGUGCUAACAAGCACAGACCCACUGCACCGUGCCCCUGCCUGGACGUUGUCCCUCUGACAGGCAUGAGGCUGAUCAUCACCAGGGCAGUGCAGGUCCCACCAGGACGUGGUUCUGGAGCAGGUGUGUGGGCACCCCAGGCUCUGCGAAGCCUCUCCCAUGGGGCCAUCAAGGGGCCCUGCGGCACCUCGAUCCCGUUUGUCCUGAUUCCUGGGGAGGGAGGUGCAGAGGCCUGAAUGGCUGCUUUCGGGAUCAGCCAGGCAGUUUUCCAGCCUGGUAUGUCUGUCAAGCGCUGCCCGUGGCCGAGGGCUGAGGAUGAAUCCCUGGUGCACGUGCCAUUUGCGAGGCAGGACGCGCGUCAUGACUGUCACCGGGUUAAUGGCUGGCAUCCCGCUCUACCUGCCAGUGUGCCACUGGCACCCACGGCCGUGCACCCCGUCCAUCGGGCUCCGCUCCGCAGCCACAGGCAAACCCAGGGCUCAGGGCGGCCAGCCAGGCGCCGGGGUGCCCGCUCUCCUGGUGGCAUGGAGACAUGGCGCCGGCGUAGUGCGGCAUUCGACUGCGUGCCCCAGCCGGCAGCCUACUGCCCUGACUGGAUGGCAGAGCUCCCCGACACCCUGCCGCUCUCCCGCCUCUCCAUCCCUGGCACCCACGACUCCCUCAGCCUGUUUGGCGGCCGGCGCCUGCGGUGUCAGAGCUGGGGCCUGGAGGCCCAGCUGGCGGCCGGCAUCCGCUUCCUGGAUGUGCGCUGCAAGCUGUCACGGGGCGAGCUCCGUGUCUACCACCUCUGCACCUUCCAGCGGGCCAGCCUGCGUGGGGUCCUGCGCCGCACCCUGCGCUUCCUCCGUGCCCACCCUGGCGAGGCCGUGCUCAUGCGCAUCAAGGAGGAGCUGCCCAUCUUCUCCCGGCCCGGCUUCGCUGCCCAACUGCAUCGCUGCCUGCUGGAGGAGGGACAGGGCUGUUUGUGGUGCCAGGAGGAGAUGCCGACGCUGGGCCAGGUGCGCGGGAAGAUUGUGGUACUGGAGGCACUCAGGCGGGAGGUGCUGGGCAUCCCCUACGAGCAGCUGAGCAUCAGCGAUGCCUGGAAUGUGCUGUCACUGGAGCGCAAGUGGGCCCGGGUGCGGCAGCACCUGGAGAAGGCAGCUGGCGGGGACUCCACCACCAUGUACCUCACCUUCUGCUCUGGCAACGGACUCUUCACCUGCCCUGAGGAGGUGGCCCGCAUUGUGAACCCCCGCUGCUACCAGCACCUGCGGCGCCGGGGCAGGCAGCCCGUGCGCUGGGGGGUGGUCAUCAUGGACUUCCCUGGUGCAGGGCUUCUCCGGCUCAUCGUGGAGAGCAACGGCCUGCAGGCCAAUGGACGCAGCACAGGAGUCCCCAGCACUCCCGCAGCGCCCUCGCAGCAUCCCCGUGGCAGAGGGGACAGACGCCGCAGCCGGCACAGCUCCGCUCGCUGCCUGCGCCGGUACCCAUCGGGUCGGACACUGCUCCCGGCCGCACGCCUCUGCCGAAGGACAUCAGUGCCCGUAGAGCAAAAGCUGGUUUCUAGGUCUCGCAGAGCACCAGGAAGUGUUCGUGUGACAGUGGUGUGACAGCGGCAGAGGCAGCAGAGAGCUGACAGCCCAGUGGUCGGAGCUGGGCAGCCCGGGGAGCUGCGCCUUGAGCAUCGCUCUGCCCGGAGGAGCCAGGGGCUUGCCCCAAAAGUCAGGACUCUUAGGGAGAGCCAGCUUCAGCAAGUGCUGCCAACCCUGUGCAUGGACAGCUGGAUGGCCACAGGAGCAGUGAUUCCGAAGGGGCUGUCCUGUCCCUGGGAUCGAACAGAUAGAGGAUGCUGCACAGGGCAGAGCCCAGUGAUUUGCAACAGCAUGGGCAGCAUGGGCAGGGCAGUUUGUGGAUUCACAAAAGCAAAGUGAUUGGGACAUAAAAAAGACCUUAAAACCAGUGCCAGUGCCUGCCCUAUCUGCAGAUAAUAAAUCAGCAAUUUAAACAGAAUGGCAAGUCAAAUGACACAGAAGUUCCUUGGAGCAAAAGGAUAACCAAGAUCCCAGGGGAGAAAUCAUCAAACUGCUCUGUGCUGAAGGAGGGAGCUGGGAAAGAGAAGAGGAACUUUUUUAAAAGAGGAAAGCUCAGCCCUGGCCUGCCAAAAGAUGAAGGAUGUCCUCAAGGAUACUUCUGUCUCAGAGGAAAACACAGUGCCUGCCAGAGGGGAUGCUGCAGGAUUUCCUGGCUGGAGGAGGGGAAGUUUUUUGCUCCACAGGGGCUGGCCCUGGCUGGAGACACACCUCUUGGUGCUGAGCAUGUUCAUCUGCUGGGCCAGGGAGGGGAACAGGCAAUAGUACGCAGUGGGCGACAGAGGUGGCAGACAGAGGAAUCUGUCUCUGAGCUUGCUCUGUGAGACAGGAGAAGAUUGAAAUCUCUGCAUUAAAACAGACAUGUGACAAAA